rnacentral:lncRNA from 1 species
GCGGCAACUCAUCGAGUAAUAGUGCAACAAAUAUUUACGUAAGAUUCAGAAAGGUUCAAACAGCUGUGUAAAGUGUUAAGAGGCUACAGGCGUGGACAAAUGCUCACCGAUAGAGUCACACAGCAGCGGUCAAACACGCCCUGCAGUAUAAGGCGGGAGUCACGAUUGGCGGGUACACGGUGCGCCAGGUUGAAGAAAUCAAAGAACUGCACCUCGCUACUGUUCGGCUUUCGGAUGAAAAAAAAAAAAAAAAAAAAAAAAAAAAAAAAAA